rnacentral:SRP_RNA from 1 species
GCUGGGUGUGGUGGUACCCACCUGUUCCUAUUGCUGGGGAGGCUAAGGCUGGAUGAUCUUUUGAGUUUGAGAAUUCUAAGCUGUAGUAGGAAUAAAGUUGAUUGGGUGUUUUCAUGAAGUCUUUGGCACCAGUAUGGUGAGCCGUCAGAUUAGGAAGCUACCAGGUUGCCUAAGGAGAGGUGAAUUGGCCCAGGUUGGAAAAACGGAGCAGGUCAGAGCUUCUAUGCCAAUCAGUAUUGGGACCAGGCCUAUGUGUGGCCACUGUACUUUUAGUUUGGGCAAUAUUAGGGAGACCCAGUU